GACGAACGCUGGCGGCGUGCCUAAUACAUGCAAGUCGAGCGAAGCGGCGGAUGGGUGAGUAACGCGUGGGUAACCUGCCCUUAAGUCUGGGAUACCAUUUGGAAACAGAUGCUAAUACCGGAUACUAAAGGAUGGACCUGCGAUGCAUUAGCUAGUUGGUAAGGUAACGACUUACAAAGGCGAUGAUGCAUUGAAGAGCUGAGAGACUAAUCGGCCAACUUGCAAAUGAAAAACGACCCAAACUACAACGGGAGGCAGCAGUAGGAAAUAUUACACAAUGGACGAAAGUCUGAUGGAGCAACGACGCGUAAGUGAAGAAGGUUUUCGAAUCGUAAAGCUCUGUUGUAGGUGAAGCGGUAAUCAACCCGAAAGUCACGGAUAACUACAUGACAGCCGCCGCGGUAAUAC
rnacentral:rRNA from 1 species